AAACCGUUCGGGGGUAAACGGACAGAGCCCGUGAAUCCGGGCGACGGAAUUCAGAGUCGACCGGCGUUCGCGCGUCGUCGGCUCGAUAUUUCCGCCGCCGCCAACGUUGAGUUUUCACGAAUUCAACGACGGACGUCGCGACCCGUUCGGCGUCAAGGUCCGCAGGAGACGCGCGAAAGUUCGUGUGCGUCGGUCGGGUUUCGGCUCGGUCGGCGUUUCGCGAGUGCGCGUUUACAAGUUUUCUGGCCGACUAUGCCGGACGGUAGACGAAGCGGUGGGCGCGGCGGCCUUGCUUUCAGCGAGCGUCGUCGCGUGACCGGUCCGCGACGAAUCUUCGGGCCUCUUUCCGA
rnacentral:rRNA from 1 species